UGGUGUGAAAAUGCAAGAAUGCAUUUAAAAUUAGAUUUCUGUGAUUUAAAACAACAAACACACCAAAUGUGUUCUGUAAUGUUAUAUGUUAUGUUGCGUCUUUGGCUACAUGCUCAAACCACUAUUUUAAUUCUUAUUUUAGCACUGACAGAAAAACAUUAAUUGAUUGCAUUGAUAGUAACACUGUCACAUUUGGGAGGGGCACAAAGGGAGGACAUCUGUACUUCUCUACUCACAAAAACUUAAUCUAUUUUCUGCCGUUUUAUGAUAUUUGUCGACGAAUUUCAUAAAUAUACGUAUUUUUGUUAUGAUUACAAAAAUUGCUCGACUGCUUAUCUUAUGAUACAUUCAUAACUAUGUUCUUGUCCUAAAUAAAUUGCUCAAACACAGAUUAUACCAUGUUACCUCAGAAGCUGAAUAGCAGAUUCAUAUUCAUUUGUCUCCCAUACAUUCUUCUCAAGGCAGGAUAUAUACAGCUCUCGUAUCUAAAAACAAACAUACAUUAAAUGUUCAGUAAAUAUACAGUAUGACAAGUAAAAUUUAAGAGCAGUUCUUAAAACAAAUUUAGGAGUUUGUAUUUAAUACUUAUCAAGAUCUUACUUGUUUCCCCAGAGGAUACUUUGGCAGAGACGAUGUCAGUGUGUGUAGACAGCGGACGAUGGGAUAAUAACUCUUAUGGGACUAUGGGAAAUGUGUCACCUCAUGAAAGAGGGCAGCUGGCGGACCAUCUCCACAUCUUGGUGGCUCAACUUCUGUGCACGGACCAGAAACUCCUUUUUCUCACAGCAGAGCACACUGAGAGGCUGUGAGUAGAAGUGCUCCAACAGGGCCAACUGUACAAAAAUAAGCAUAUUUUCUCAACACAACAUGACUAUUCAACAUAUACACAGAACCAAGUGGGAAAUCAGAAAGAAAUAUACAGUUAUGUUGCAUCUGCUCACCUGAAGGCCUUUAACAAAGUUGCGGACUGAGAAAUCAUGGUACAAGAAGAUGCUCACCAGCACCUGUAGAACUUUACCACUGAGCUUGAAAGGAAACUGUGAAGUCAAAAUCAGCUGCAAAACAAAAAUAAUAAUAAAUCAUCAUCAUCAUCAUCAUCAGACAACAAACAAACUAAUUGUCAGUAAUUAAUACCUUGUCAAUAACAGUUGCAAGAUGCUGGGUACAGGAGAGUGACUGAAAAAGCUCAAUGCACAGCAGAGAUGACACAGAGUGUGGUAACAUGUGCUGAAUGG